rnacentral:rRNA from 1 species
AUAGCUGGUUUCUCAGGAAAAGAAUUUAAGUCCAACCUAAAGUAAUCUCGAUUCACAUAAAUCACCCCACCACUUUAGAGCAAUUCAAAUGAGGUACAGCCCAUUUGAUACAGGAUACAACCUUAACUAACGGGUAACAUUAAAUCUACACCUUCAAGUAGGCCUAAGAGCAGCCACCCUUAAAAGCGUCAAAGCUUAAUCAUGUUUACAUCAAUUUAAAAUCUCCCAUUGACCCCUUUAACUUUACUGAGAAUUUCUAUAUCAUAUAGAACAUUUUAUGCUAAGACUAGUAACAAGAGAAAACCCUCUCCCAAUGCAAACACAAGCCAGCAAGAACCCAUCACUGGCAACUAACAGACCUAGACAAAAGUAGCAACAUCACUAGAAAACCCUACUUCUCACAACUGUUAACCUAACACCAGAGCAUUUCAGGGAAGAUUAAAAGAAAAAGAAGGAACUCGGCAAACACCAAUCCCGCCUGUUUACCAAAAACAUCGCCUCUUGUUACUAUAAGAGGUCAAGCCUGCCCAGUGACUUUGUUCAACGGCCGCGGUAUCCUAACCGUGCGAAGGUAGCGUAAUCACUUGUUUUCUAAAUAAAGACCAGUAUGAAAGGCAUCACGAGGAUUAAACUGUCUCCUUUUUCCAAUCAGUGAACCUAAUCUCCCCGUGAAGAAGCGGGGAUUAUCCUAUAAGACGAG